rnacentral:rRNA from 1 species
CCUACGGGAGGCAGCAGUGGGGAAUUGUUCGCAAUGGGCGCAAGCCUGACGACGCAACGCCGCGUGGAGGAUGAAGACCUUCGGGUCGUAAACUCCUUUCGAUCGAGACGAAUGUUUUCCGGGUGAACAAUCCGGAAAAGUGACGGUACCGAGAGAAGAAGCCCCGGCUAACUCUGUGCCAGCAGCCGCGGUAAUACAGGGGGGGCAAGCGUUGUUCGGAAUUACUGGGCGUAAAGGGCUUGUAGGUGGCCAACUAAGUCAGACGUGAAAUCCCUCAGCUUAACUGGGGAACUGCGUCUGAUACUGGAUGGCUUGAGUUUGGGAGAGGGAUGCGGAAUUCCAGGUGUAGCGGUGAAAUGCGUAGAUAUCUGGAGGAACACCGGUGGCGAAGGCGGCAUCCUGGACCAACACUGACACUGAGGAGCGAAAGCCAGGGGAGCAAACGGGAUUAGAUACCCCGGUAGUCCUGGCCCUAAACGAUGAAUGCUUGGUGUGGCGGGUAUCGAUCCCUGCCGUGCCGAAGCUAACGCAUUAAGCAUUCCGCUGGGGAUCGGUCGCAAGGCUGAAACUCAAAUGAAUUGACGGCNGAGAGNGCGAGACGACGACGAGGGAGGAGG